rnacentral:tRNA from 1 species
GGGCGAUUAGCUCAGGGGGAGAGCGCUGCCUUCACACGGCAGAGGUCACUGGUUCAAUCCCAGUAUCGCCCACCA